GACGAACGCUGGCGGCGUGCUUAACACAUGCAAGUCGAACGGAAAGGCCCUGCUUUUGUGGGGUGCUCGAGUGGCGAACGGGUGAGUAACACGUGAGUAACCUGCCCUUGACUUUGGGAUAACUUCAGGAAACUGGGGCUAAUACCGGAUAGGAGCUCCUGCUGCAUGGUGGGGGUUGGAAAGUUUCGGCGGUUGGGGAUGGACUGGCGGCUUAUCAGCUUGUUGGUGGGGUAGUGGCUUACCAAGGCUUUGACGGGUAGCCGGCCUGAGAGGGUGACCGGCGCCCUGGGGACUGAGAGACGGCCCAGACGCGUACGGGAGGCAGCAGUGGGGACUAUUGCACAAUGGGCGGAAGCCUGAUGAAGAGACGCCGCGUGCGGGAUGACGGCCUUCGGGUUGUAAACCGCUUUCGCCUGUGACGAAGCGUGAGUGACGGUAAUGGGUAAAGAAGCACCGGCUAACUACGUG
rnacentral:rRNA from 1 species